UUUGUUUUGUUUUUCUGUAGCACCACAAGGUCAGUCGUGCUGUGAAAAUGGUCCCAAAGGUCCAAUGGUGGUGCUCAGCAUGACCAGGGAAGCACUUGCUUUUUGUGGGUGCCCAUGGGCUCUUCUUGCUAGGACCCGGGAGAGCAGGUCUGAGCCUCUGCCUUGGGUCAGCUGGCCAUAUAACAUACACAGGCACACACAGGCACACGUACACACGUACACACAUGCAUGCAUGCACAAAUGCUGUAUACAUAUUCGUUCCUUCCUUCCUCCAUGAAACUAGACCAGACAGCUGGGCCCUGUCUACCGAGGUGGUUUUCUGUUUCUCCGUCUCACCUGAAGCAUGUUUUCCUAAUGAUGAACAAAUGUCGCAGCCUGCCAAGUUACAGCGGGGCAUCAUGGGAACGGUGCUUGCUUUCUCUCUGCACUGCAGACUCCUGUCUCUUCUCUUGCAGAAGGUGAUGUUCGUCCUCAUCUGUGUAGUCACUUUGCUUGUGAUCCUUGGAAUUAUUCUAGCAACAGCAUUGUCAUAGCAACCGCACCCCAAGAGCUCUUUGUCCUCAGAGACUCUGACCACACCUGCAGCAUGGCCGGCGUGAACCUCAGACCCCAGGGCUAGCGCAGAGCGCUGAGGUUUUUAUUGGUGAUGGAGAAUAAAGCGCCACAGAGGUCUCAUACCAUGAAACACCGUGAGCCCCGUGGAUGCGACAUGCCAGCCCAGAGGGCCUGGGUCUCUCUGAAGGACACCACCGAGAUUUCACAAUGGUGGCCUUGCCUCAGUGGCUUUGAAAUAGGAAUGAUCGAGAAAGUCUUAACUUUUAAAGAUGACGCCAGUGUUAAAAUGUACGUUGUGUUUAAUUAGGGUGUGCUCUGUGCUCUCGGCCGACAGUGCUGACGAAGAGACUUCGUGCCAGGCCUGAUCUCUGUUCGUGUCUUGUUUGCAGAAUCAUCACAGAACUGUGUUUUUGUAAGGCACCUGUAAUUUUAAGUAUCUGUAAGUUAAGUUCCUUAAUAUAUUAACAUCUAAACUCCCUUUUCUAAGCUAGACACUGCCUUGUGAAGGACAAUGGGCCAGCCCUAGGCAGCCAUGUCGAGGUUGCUGUUGUCCCUGAAAACAUGGCCUCGCAGCCCCUCAGGGCCCUUCUUCAGUGCCUUCUGGUGACCCUGACUAGGAAGUGUAAGGGUCUGAAGAGGUGACAAGCGGCCACACGCUGCACUCGUGUUGCUCUUCCUUGUUCACUCAUGGUAAUGGAGUCUCGGCGACAAAGAUGGAGGCGAGACUUGGUGCUCACUAGACUCUAGGGAACCGUCCCGGGCACAAAGC
rnacentral:lncRNA from 1 species